CGAAUAUUCCGCAAUGGGCGCAAGCCUGACGGAGCAAUGCCGCGUGCAGGAUGAAGCCCCUCGGGGUGUAAACUGCUGUCAGGGUCUAACAAAACUAUGAGUAAACCCAAAGGAAGAGACGGCUAACUCUGUGCCAGCAGCCGCGGUAAUACAGAGGCCUCAAGCGUUAAUCGGAUUUACUGGGCUUAAAGGGUGAGUAGGCGGCGCUGCAAGUGCCUUGUGAAAUACCACGGCUCAACCGUGGAAUUGCUCGGUAGACUGCAGUGCUUGAGGUCGGUAGGGGUCGCUGGAACUCUAGGUGGAGCGGUGAAAUGCGUAGAUAUCUAGAGGAACGCCCAAGGUGAAGACAAGCGACUGGGCCGAUUCUGACGGUGAGGCACGCAAGCGUGGGUAGCG
rnacentral:rRNA from 1 species